rnacentral:rRNA from 1 species
UACGUAGGGGGCUAGCGUUGUCCGGAUUUAUUGGGCGUAAAGAGUGUGUAGGCGGCUUGGCAAGUCUGCUGUGAAAACUCGAGGCUCAACCUCGAGCUGUCGGUGGAAACUGCUUGGCUAGAGUCCGGAAGAGGAGAGUGGAAUUCCUGGUGUAGCGGUGAAAUGCGCAGAUAUCGGGAAGAACGCCCGUGGCGAAGGCGGUUCUCUGGGACGGUACUGACGCUGAGACGCGAAAGCGUGGGGAGCGAACAGG